AAUUUUGGACAAUGGGGGAAACCCUGAUCCCGCCAUCCCGCGUGUAUGAUGAAGGCCUUCGGGUUGUAAAGUACUUUUGGCAGAGAAGAAAAGGUACCUCCUAAUACGAGGUACUGCUCACGGUAUCUGCAGACUAAGCACCUGCCACCUACGUGCCAGCAGCCGCGGUAAUACGUAGGGUGCAAGCGUUAAUCGGAAUUACUGUGCGUCAAGCGUGUGUAGGCGGUUCGGAAAGAAAGAUGUGAAAUCCCAGGGCUCAACCUUGGAACUGCAUUUUUAACUGCCGAGCUAGAGUAUGACAGAGGGGGGUAGAAGUCCACGUGUAGCAGUGAAAUGCGUAGAUAUGUGGAGGAAUACCGAUGGCGAAGGCAGCCCCCUGGGAUAAUACUGACGCUCAGACACGAAAGCGUGGGGAGCAAACAG
rnacentral:rRNA from 1 species